GCUCUCUCCUCCUAUAUUUGCGCCCUUCCCUUCACCGUCGCUCACUUCACUGCCCUGCACGCAUAGGUGGUCUUGCCGUCGCCAUCCAAACCCUACCGGGAGCUUCCCUUUUCGUCCGCGCCCAAGCUCAUCCAUCUCCUGGAGGUGCCGCUGGCCAAGAAGGUAUGCUCAAAGAUGCCUCUUCCCAGAUCCAACUAGGACAGUGGGUUGGUUUUAGUCCUUCUAAUGCCAGGUCUUUAUCCACCACGGGUGUUAGCUAUUUCCCAGCAAUACAACUAUUUCUCUUCGGAAGAAUUGUUUUUCCCCUCCAGAUGUUCAUGCUUAUGUUAUGUGUGGAUUUUGAAAGCUAAUGUACACGUACUAUGUGCUUUGAGAAGAAAACAGUGUAGUUGUUAUGCAUGAGCACACCUUCUGCAUAAUGGUCAAUUUGGUUGACCUUCAUUGUCAAAAGAAAUUUGCUUAGUGUAUUGUCAUCAUAAGUAACUAGCAUAGUGCUUACAUCUGGAACAUAGAACUUAGCUAUAAAUCUUAACUAUGAUGGUACUUUGUGGAAAAUGGCACAUUUAAACUGAUUUUAAUGAUAUAUUUAUUGCUCUGAACCUUGGAUUGUCACCAUAGUUUAGACUCUUGAGUGUUGUUCUGGCUUUGAAAAGUGGGUUGUCACAGGUUUUGUGCUAGGCUGGAAUAUUUUUGGCCACGUACGUUAUUCAACUAGGUAACUCCGCUGCUCUGUUACCACAAGCAACUCCAUGCCUUAGUUAGGUCGGUCCCUAUUUUUUAGGACUAGGUGUGCUACUAUUCCUACUUCCUACUGAUUUGUCCACUUUCUCUCUGUCCUACUACUCUCUUUUCAUUAAUCCCCCGAAUCUCUAAUCUUUGUUUGUGUAGAUUCUCUCUUACCUAUGCCUACAAGGUCGAUGAAAAUCCAAGCAAGUUGCAAGGAAGAUUCAUCUAUGUAAUAAUGUAAUAUCCAAGCUCUGUUGUCUCUGCUUAAUAACUUCUUUUUCUGAAAUUUAGUUGCAUUGAAUGAUUAAUUCCUCUCAUGCCAAUGUGGCAAUAUCUCUUGUUUGAAUUCUCAAUUGUCUUUGCCAGUUACAUAGUGGCUUACAUGCCACCUGGAUACUGGAGUAGCAUAGUAUAUGGGAAUAUGAUUUCAUUUUUAAGCAUUUCUAUGCCACAACUAGUAUCGUUGGUCCUUUCUAAAGGCCAAUAUGAAAGGGCAACAUAUAUAUGUCAGAUCGCAUGGGUAUUUUAGUUGGUACUUUCAGGUUUUGAUAUUACUAUAUCACUAGAAUUUCCUUUCGAAAAUUGCAAUUAGAUUUUAUCAUAGCAUGGUAAGUAUUGAGAAAUUUGUUCAUCAUACCUCCCAGGUAAACUGGAAGUAUUGUAGUAGUAGUCAAGCAGGAACCAAUUCCAAUUGUAUCCUGGGGAUUUUCUUCCUUGUUUUAGAUCUAGUGAAUAAUGUUUGCUGUGGCAGAUAAAGAAUAAUGUUUGCAUUUACCUCACCCUGUCCUAAAUUGGUUUGUUUACUAAUGUUGCACAUGUCUUAUGUUUCCAUUGUUAAUUUAUUAUUGGAAAUUGGUGAUGAUCAGGUAAAGAAAGAAAUCUUCAAGUCUCAGGUUUUUCUAUAACCAUUCCCACAUGGUGGUAAGCUCUCCCAGCAAAUCAUGAUGUGACUCGGAUCAGGUGUGCAUUUUUUCCUUUUUCUACUAUAAAAAAACUUUCCAAUGAGCACACUAAAGUGUAGCAUUCAAUAAGCAGACUUCAUGAUAUUCUAUUGAAAUAAAGUAAUCUAUGAUGUUCUUGAAGUUUUGUCAUGAGUGCCUUAUAUAUGUGCACCAUGGCCAUAAGUACGAGCAGCAUGCAUAUGUGCAUUGAGUCAUCCAACAUGAGGAAUAAGAGAGAUAAAAGCGGGUCCACAGCAAAAAGCGGUGCGGCAAGGCUUGCGUCUACUUCUAGUGGUUACCUAUACUCGAAUGGAGUGCCUUCUUGAGUAGGUGUUUUGGUACUAGCUUGCCUUGUGAAGUAAUAAAUGUUGUCAAUGCUAUGCUUUAUCCAAGUUUUUAUGGUACAUUGUAUUUAUGAAUGUAAGAAUGUAAUGGCAACUUCUUUACAUUUCGCAGGAAAGACAUGCAAGCGGAGGUGGAACCAUGAAGCCGGCGGUUCAGGAAAUUUUGUGUAGUGGUGAUUGAAUCAUUGGUGCUGAAUUUUAUCUAUCAUUUUGUAAACCCACAUUGUGUUUGAGACAAUGAACCAUAGUUAAUUAGCUAUAUUAGCUUAUGGGAAAUUUGGAAAGUCAGUAUGUUGAUAACGGAUGAACUAUUUACAUGUGAAAUUAAUUAAUAUGUGUUUCUAUUGUCUGGUUAUGGUUUAUUAUUGCUGGAGGACAUGCAUGUUGUUGUUAUGAAAUGUCUUG
rnacentral:lncRNA from 1 species